rnacentral:rRNA from 1 species
GACGAACGCUGGCGGCGUGCCUAACACAUGCAAGUCGAGCGGGGGAGGUUGCUUCGGUAACUGACCUAGCGGCGGACGGGUGAGUAAUGCUUAGGAAUCUGCCAUUUAGUGGGGGACAGCAUUCCGAAAGGAAUGCUAAUACCGCAUACGUCCUACGGGAGAAAGCAGGGGAUCUUCGGACCUUGCGCUAAAUGAUGAGCCUAAGUCGGAUUAGCUAGUUGGUGGGGUAAAGGCCUACCAAGGCGACGAUCUGUAGCGGGUCUGAGAGGAUGAUCCGCCACACUGGGACUGAGACACGGCCCAGACUCCUACGGGAGGCAGCAGUGGGGAAUAUUGGACAAUGGGCGGAAGCCUGAUCCAGCCAUGCCGCGUGUGUGAAGAAGGCCUUAUGGUUGUAAAGCACUUUAAGCGAGGAGGAGGCUACCUAGAUUAAUACUCUAGGAUAGUGGACGUUACUCGCAGAAUAAGCACCGGCUAACUCUGUGCCAGCAGCCGCCGUAACAC